rnacentral:lncRNA from 9 species
CAGGAUACUUCAUUGGAAUUGUGACUUCUGAUUUUUAAUUUGGAGAUUAUAAAACAUGAACAAAGGAAAUAUUUCUCUCCAGCUAUUCUCUCCAGCUGUGUAUUCUUUUUCACUGAGCUUCUAAAAACAACAGUUUGGGUUGGAACACAAGAAAAGGAUGACACAAUUUAGGCCUUUAUCGAAAAUAGCCAGUUCUAUUUUCACGGAACUGAGGCAGCGUCAGGCCUGGGAGCCCUGGACGGUCUGGAUUUUCGUGGUCACCUUGAGUCCUGAGGACAAGGUGGAAACCUGUCAAUUUGGAAGAGACAGGGGCUUGGUCUAA